rnacentral:miRNA from 1 species
AUAUGCAUCACAUGGGGAUCUUGUUCAAAUGCAGAUUCUGGUUUAUUGGGUCUGAGUGGGUCUGAGAGGCUGCAUUUGUAACAAGCUCUCAGUGAUACAGAU